rnacentral:rRNA from 1 species
AUUGAACGCUGCGGCAGGCUUAACACAUGCAAGUCGAGCGAGCGGCGGACGGGUGCGUAAUGCUUAGGAAUCUGCCCAUUAGUGGGGGACAACAUCUCGAAAGGGAUGCUAAUACCGCAUACUAAUAGAUGACCCUAAGUCGGAGUAGCUAGUUGGGGGGGUAAAGGCCUACCAAGGCGACGAUCUGUAGCGGGGCCGAGGGGAGGAUCCGCCAAACUGGGAAUGAGACACGGGCCAGACUCCUACGGGAGGCAGCAGUGGGGGAUAUUGGGCAAAGGGGGGAAAGCUGAUCCGGCCAUGCCGCGUGUGUGAAGAAGGCCUUAUGGUUGUGAAGCACUUUAAGCGAGGAGGCGUUACUCGCAGAAUAAGCAACGGCUAACUCUGUGCCAGCCGCCGCGGUAAUUC